UUAAUUUUUUAAUGUAACAACUAAAUGUAAGAGUAAAUUGUAACUUCAUUAAUUUUCAUCAUUUGUAAUUUUAUUGCAGAAGUGGUGACAGUUCCAGAUCCCCCUGUACUACCUGUGACAGUUCCAGAUCUCCCUGUACUACCUGUGACAGUUCCAGAUCUCCCUGUACUACCUGUGACAGUUCCAGAUCCCCCUGUACCUGGACCCUCUGUAGCAGCCCGCCCACCUGUACGUGUACAAUCAGACCCCUUUGAUAGUGACAGCGACCCAGAUGACCCUGAGCCUUUCCAUGGUUUUGAUGCCUCGCCCUAUUCAUCAGAUCUAGAUGUUCCCUCAUCAGUUGAUACGAGUAUCACCUCUCCAGAGCCCAAAUCAGUUGAUACGAGUAGUAUCACCUCUCCCAUUCCUUCAGACUCCCAAGCACCUGCCCAUCCCACUCCAUAGCCCAGCCACCCACUCUCAUGUACCAUAUGGCCAUCCCAGUAAGCAAGCCAACCACUAGAAUUUGGUAAGGACAUUUUUUUUUAUUAAUGUUUUAUUAUUACAUAUGUAAUAACCAUGUUAUGUAUGUAACAUACAUACUAUAAUCAUAUGUACUAUUACAUUAUCAUUCCAGACUGGCAUGCACCUGUG